GGGACCUUCGGGCCUUGCACUAUUGGAGUGGCCGAUAUCGGAUUAGCUAGUUGGUGGGGUAAAGGCCUACCAAGGCGACGAUCCGUAGCUGGUUUGAGAGGACGACCAGCCACACUGGGACUGAGACACGGCCCAGACUCCUACGGGAGGCAGCAGUGGGGAAUUUUGGACAAUGGGGGAAACCCUGAUCCAGCCAUCCCGCGUGUGCGAUGAAGGGCUUCGGGUUGUAAAGCACUUUUGUCAGGAAAGAAAUCCCCGGGAUAAUACUCGGGUGGA
rnacentral:rRNA from 1 species